ACUCCUACGGGAGGCAGCAGUGGGGAAUCUUGGACAAUGGGGGCGAACCCUGAUCCAGCCAUGCCGCGUGAGUGAUGAAGGCCUUAGGGUCGUAAAGCUCUUUCGCCUGUGAAGAUAAUGACGGUAGCAGGUAAAGAAACCCCGGCUAACUCCGUGCCAGCAGCCGCGGUAAUACGGAGGGGUUAGCGUUGUUCGGAAUUACUGGGGCGUAAAGCGCACGUAGGCGGAUCGGAAAGUUGGGGGUGAAAUCCCGGGGCUCAACCCCGGAACUGCCUCCAAAACUAUCGGUCUAGAGUUCGAGAGAGGUGAGUGGAAUUCCGAGUGUAGAGGUGAAAUUCGUAGAUAUUCGGAGGAACACCAGUGGCGAAGGCGGCUCACUGGCUCGAUACUGACGCUGAGGUGCGAAAGUGUGGGGAGCAAACAGGAUUAGAUACCCUGGUAGCGACUGA
rnacentral:rRNA from 1 species